UGAGCAUUUUCUCUACUGGGUGAAAGUC
rnacentral:piRNA from 1 species